GAAUUUCAUUGUCUUCUGUGGAAUUCUUCAACACAUACACAACCAACCGGACCGUUGACUUUCAGAAAGUAUUUAAAGAGAGAUGUGUGCGCAUAUCUUCCAUCCUUUUCUCUGAACACAAGUCUGACUGUCCUCUCUGCCUUCUCGCUCAGGCACUAUCAUCUUAAAAGCAAUACACAGGAUGUCAAUUCAGCGGGCCAAUUUUUCCAACCAGUGGAGUACUGAAAUCUUUGACUGCAUGAAAGUGAAGGAUAAAACAGAUUGUUUCCUUUCAAUCUUCUGCUUUCCAUAUUUUGCGUGUAAGACGGCUAAGAGGUAUGGAGAGUGUUUUUGCCUUCCUCUGAUUGAUGGAUUUGGUUUGAUGAGGGUAUCCAUGCGUCAUCAUUACGGCAUUGAGGGUAGUCUCUUGACUGACUGCUUGAUUUCCUACUUCUGUUGUCCCUGCGUAUGGUGUCAGAUGUCUCGGGAAAUGAACGCCCAUGAAACUGUAACACGUCAACCUUAAUGAACUCAACUGCCAAUCGACAACAUCCUCAUUUUCCCUCAUUACUUUUUUGGUACUAUACAUGCCCAUGUAAUAUAUUAUUAUAUAAAUUUUACUACCUAACAUUACCCCAAAUAUUACUUUAUAUUGUGUCCCAAUUGGUAGAAAUAAUUCCCAACAUUUCUCAGCAAUGACACGAUCUGUAUACAUUACCUUUAUAUGAGAUUAUCCUGUUGCCUUGUGCUGACUGUAUGUUUAGGCCUAAAGGUUUGUAUAGUUUAGUAAAUGAAUACAUAAAUCUUCGCACUUUACUGGUUUGUGAAAAUUACUAAUAUGGAAUAAAAGCUAAUGAAGAAAAAAAGACAUACAUAUAAAGAAAAAAAUGUGUAGGCUAAUUAUGAUUAAUAGUCAGACAAAUUACAUAAAAAUAAAAAUAAACUGAGCUAAAAAAAAAUUGUAUUAUUAUUUAAUUCCACCAGUAGGUGGCAUACAUUUACCAGUAAUCAUUAAAUAGAAGAAAACGAAACCUGGGUCCUGUUGUUCGGUUAGUUUAGUCUGAAUCUGAAUGAUCUGGAUUUUGAAACCCUAUUUGUUUUACCAUCUAGGAUCAGGUAACACAUCAACUUUUGAGCUGAUUUUUCUAAGCAAAAUUGGAUUGGAUCACCCUGAUCCAGAUACACGCUUUUUCAGAUUUCUCUACGGAGCCCCUAAAGGGACACUAAUGGGAAGAGAGAAAAAAAACGAUGGAAAAAAGCACUGUUUUGCAUUGCAUUUACACAAAACUGCUUAUGACUGCCAUCUCUGGUGAUUGUGCCAUUAUAGUUUACAAUUUGGGAUUAAAAAAAAAAUAUAUAUAUAUAUAUAUAAUAUUUGUUUGAUAUGGACAGCUGUUUGGGGAUAUAUUGCAUGUUACAAAUGUUGUAUUGUUUGGACCAGUUUUAAAGUUUUAUUAGGCUACAUAUUCGUUCUAGAAAUACACCCUUCUGCUUGGAUCAGAAUAAUGUGUUUUUGUUUUUGUUUUUUUUUUGUUUGUUUUUUUUGGGCCAAAGGUAGGCCUAUCCCAAUCUUACAAAGGUAUGUGAAGGAGAAAGUCACAGUAAUGAUUGUAUUUUAGUACCCAAAUAAAAGUAUCUGCCUAAUGUGCAUGCUACUACAGUAGGCGUCUGUAUGUAAGCCGAUACUCCACAUGUGUUGCAGCACUUGUCAAUGCGCAGAAUGUAUGUGCCCAGAAAAAGUAUCAAUAAAUGCACAAGUAGAUGGAAUCUGA